rnacentral:ncRNA from 2 species
UUUAGUUCAUUGGGGUGCUUUUAUGGCUGAGAUCAUACCCGUAUAACCUGAUUUGGAUAAUGCCAACGUAGGAAAAAGAUAGAUUUCAUUUU